rnacentral:lncRNA from 1 species
CGCUGCAAAAGUGCAGAGAAGAUCUUUCGCUAAAAUGCUCUCAAGCAAACAGAGACAGCUAACCUGGAAGUCUGAAUGCUCAGUGUCUUCUCCAAAAUUAUCCAGACUGCUUUUGUUUGCAGAAGUCAGACUGUGCAAGCUGUUGGUGUGUGGCUUGUCCCGCAAACGGCAUGAGGAUGGCAUAGACAGAUGCCAAAAGUGAGGGCCCCCAUCAG